ACAGAGGAGUAAUUAGCAGAGUAAUCUCAAUCUGGUUAGAGUGAACACCUUUUUUCCAAUUUUUAAUUUUUAUAUGACAAAUCAAACGCUAUAUCUGACUCUAGUGAGAAAGUAGCAUAACGAUAGCACUACUUUGUUAGGAGAUCACUAGCAUUUUGACCUGAUGGGGCAAUACUACUCGGCUACUCCUGUUACCUAUGUGUCCCAAUGUUUGGAUGAUGGAGACCUGAUGACUGAUGUAGACCUGCCAUGUAAAAUAUGAAUUGGGCAAGAAAAAGGUAACUCUCACCAAGUAUUCAGCACAUUCUACGAAAUCUAGAUUAGGAAACUUUGGUUUUGUGUCUACUUUUUGCUUUGUAGUCCAAAUAGGACAUACUUUUCGCCCACCUAGGUUUCUAUUUGAAGUCACCACAAAUAACAAAUAAUUGAUAAGAUAACUGUACACGGUUUCAUGUAUCCAUCUGAAUUGCCAAGUUUCUGAUCAACUAAUCUAAUAUCUCUUUGGGAACGCCCAUGUGGCAACUUUUGGUGGAUUUUUAUGUUUCCUGUGAAAUUCUGGAGUUUCAAACAGGUUCUAGAUGGUUUUUGACACUUUUAGUGCCGUCACGGUGCCAUAAUGUUUAUCUAUGAACUUGAAUGCCUGCUGAAAGUGAAGAUGAAAGAAUAACCAAUUGAAGCUGAUUAGAAAUGUCAUCACAGUAUGUGGUGAACGUUUUACCUUGAGUUAUCAACCCUCAAUCCUGAUGGCAGGUAGCCGGACUUCCACUGCGGUAGCCUACAGAGCCUGAGCCUCCGCAGCAAUCGCCUCCGAACACUGAACCAUCAGAUAUGAGGGUUCCUACUUUCUACACAUCACUGUCGGAAAAAGGAGAGGUUGCAAAAGUUCAGGGUACAAAUGCACAUCACAGAUCACAACUGGAAAAUCUUGCAGAAAGGCAAUAGUUUGAGAUUCCCUAGCUCGGUGGCCUGGUGAAAAUGACCCGCACUUAGGUGCCGUUCGAGAAAAUAAUUGUCUAGCAAUUCCUACAGUAUCCAUCAACCCUAAUCUUGGAAGGGGAGUCUAUAAACUAAUUAAACAAAAACAGUGUGAUAUUGUAGCUUUUUAGUGAGACCGAAUCCCAGACUUUUAGUUGAAAGAUUGGUGCUAUGGUUGAAACUUCAAAUUACUACAGCGUUGUGCAGCCAUAUAUAUGAUAUUUCAGUUCCUACUUCCUAGUAGCAGAAGGAAAUGAUACUUUGAUUCACUUCUUACUCUGUUUAUUGUUGGAGAACGCUAGCAA
rnacentral:lncRNA from 1 species